CCUACGGGAGGCUGCAGUGGGGAAUAUUGCACAAUGGGCGCAAGCCUGAUGCAGCCAUGCCGCGUGUGUGAAGAAGGCCUUCGGGUUGUAAAGCGCUUUCAGCGGGGAGGAAGGCGGUGAGGUUAAUAACCUCAUCGAUUGACGUUACCCGCAGAAGAAGCACCGGCUAACUCCGUGCCAGCAGCCGCGGUAAUACGGAGGGUGCAAGCGUUAAUCGGAAUUACUGGGCGUAAAGCGCACGCAGGCGGUCUGUCAAGUCGGAUGUGAAAUCCCCGGGCUCAACCUGGGAACUGCAUUCGAAACUGGCAGGCUAGAGUCUUGUAGAGGGGGGUAGAAUUCCAGGUGUAGCGGUGAAAUGCGUAGAGAUCUGGAGGAAUACCGGUGGCGAAGGCGGCCCCCUGGACAAAGACUGACGCUCAGGUGCGAAAGCGUGGGGAGCAAACAGGAUUAGAUACCCUUGGAGUC
rnacentral:rRNA from 1 species